rnacentral:lncRNA from 1 species
GUUUCUUAGGUGAUUGCAGCAAAUUUCAAGGUGAGGGAAAAGCCCAUCACAGCUUUCCCAACAAAAAUUGUCAUUUGCAACUUUGCUUCAUUUCAAAGGGAUGCUGAGGCAAAGGU